UACGUAGGUGGCAAGCGUUAUCCGGAAUUACUGGGCGUAAAGCGCACGCAGGCGGCGCAUCAAGUUCGACGUGAAAGCUCCCGGCUUAACUGGGAGAGGUCGUUGAAGACUGAUGUGCUUGAGGCAAUGAGAGGGGUGUAGAAUUCCCGGUGUAGUGGUGGAAUGCGUAGAUAUCGGGGGGAAUACCAGUGGCGAAAGCGGCACCCUAGCAUUAGCCUGACGCUCAUGUGCGAAAGCGUGGGGAGCGAAC
rnacentral:rRNA from 1 species